rnacentral:rRNA from 1 species
UACGAGGGGUGCAAGCGUUGCUCGGAAUUAUUGGGCGUAAAGGGUAGGUAGGUGGUCUCAUUUGUCUGGGGUGAAAGCCUUGAGCUUAACUCAAGAAGUGCCCCAGAAACGGUGAGACUAGAGUCCUGGAGAGGGUCGUGGAAUUCCCGGUGUAGCGGUGAAAUGCGUAGAUAUUGGAAAGAACACCGAUGGCGAAGGCACUUUACUGGGCUAUUACUAACACUCAGAGACGAAAGCUAGGGUAGCAAAUGGG